rnacentral:lncRNA from 1 species
AUGCUUACGAGAAGAGAGGAGAGGAGGGGGGGCGGGAACUUGCGGCUCGGUUGUUCGCAAUCGAAUAGUAGUUAAUAAUGGAAUUUGGGCAAGUUGUACAGUGUGUUUGCCAGUGACUAUGGAGGCGGGGCAGUUAAUGUCCAAGACUCUUCCACUGAAAAUAAACCUGCAUGAGGGAAGAGAGAGAAGGAGAGAGAAAGGGAGCGGAGGGAGAGGAGGGAGGGAGGAGGAAGGGAAAGAGCCUUUCAGCGGGGACAGAAGGGAAAGAGUCUCCGUUUCAAUGGAAUAAAAACUGCGCAAUUUCUUUACGCACUCCCUGCUCGGAUCACUCGCACCGUUGCUGUCCAUGAGACGGAUAUCAGCAGCGCUUUCUGGAUGAUUGUUGGCGUGGGGGAGUCCGUUCCCCAUUGCAACCCCCCCGCUGUCUUUGAGGCUUUUUUUUAAGGCUUCACCAGCUUGCGAUUUUUUCUUAACCCGACGGUGUUCAGAUGAAGGAAAAAGAAACGCGAUAUGACUGUGCAGAUGCAACAUCACUGACGAGUGUGUUCGUCAUGCCUUGCCCAUGGGCGAACGCAUCCACAUUUUCUGUGCUGGAGGGGGGCGGGGAGGGGGGUCUGCGAUCUCCGUGCGCAGUGCUUCCCCGUGUCAUAAUUUGCGCCUAAACGCGUUAUUACGGACGUUGAAUGGAAAGGCUUAGUAUUUUUAUUUUUCGUCAGUGGGGGAGAUGAGAGGGCUUUUAGAGGUCUGCGUCAUCCCGUGGCCGUGGAAGGAGAUGGGCUACUUUGCAGAUUUUCCACUGUUUUCACAGCCAGAGUCAGCGCGGCACCUCCCCAGCACGUUUUGGAUCACACACAGAAGGGCCAAAGUGAGGAGCAUGGCUAAGCCUUGUCGCGGCAUGUUUAAAGAGCCGCCGGCGCCCGACUGAGGCCAUGAGUUUGGCUGGCUACACUGCAGGCAAGAAUGGGCAAGUGCAUCAGCCCCACAGCAUGGAAAUGGUAAACACCCCUUAGUGAUGACGGAUGCUCAUAGACACUUAAUAGUUUUAUGCAUGAUUAUUGCAAUUAAGAGCAGUUGCUAAAACACUGCUGCCACAUGCAGUUUUUGA